GUGAAACUUUUAGAUUUUAAGCUAUUAAAAAAUUUUAUUUUGAUUUUUAAAAGUAUUUUGUUUGGAUUCUUCCACAAAAUUGCAAGCUUGAUUGUUUGUCUAUAAACUAUAGAUUCUUUAAACUGUUUUUUUUAAAACAAAAACCUAUGAAUAAUCAACAAAAGUCCACAAAAAUGGAAAUGUACAACUCACCUGACUCCAAAAGGUCAUUAUCUCCAAAAGGUUUUCAAACUGACAAUAGUGUUCAUGAAAUGUUGAUUCCAUCUAUAAACCAAGAAAAUAUGUGAUUAUUUGAUACUACUUCCAUAAUAUCAUCGGAAACAGCCUUUUGUACCUACAAGAAUAUUUUGGAAUACCUAAAUAUUAAUGGCAGUAUUGUGUCUCUCAAACAACCUGAUUUUGUUUUGAGCAAUGGACAUUUUUUGUAAAUUUGCAAAGAUAAAAUAAACACAGAAAUGCAUCAUGUUUUUUGUGGUUUACAUGUCCACAAUUUAGGGAUAUAUGCUAAAAAAGCAAUUAGGGAAUGGAAACAUGGUGAUCAGCGGAAUGGGAAAGCUGAUGAAUGGAAGGCAUUUUUGCGUAAAAGGUUUUUAAAAAAUUAUAUGAUCUCAUUCCUGCAUCAUCGGUUUAACAUUAUAUUUGUACUUGGUGGAGCGACGUUUUAUCAUAAAGAUCAUCUUAAAGAAUUUGUUUUCAAUCUUGAUGGUGCAAAUUUCCUUCAUGAGUCAAUUAGGCAAGACAUUGCAACACAAUUUUUCAUGCUUCAACUAAAUUGAAAAAUCACCAGAUUAAAAUGUUAGUUAAGUAUUGACACUAGCAUAAAUUUGCAGCCUUUAGUGCUACAGGUUCUGUGUGUUUUGUGAUUGUGAUGUUAUUGUUGUGAUGUUUUGUGUUGAUAGACAACUUAGCUUACCUUUUCGCUGCUGUCUAUUGUUAAAAAUGAUUAUCAGGUUGUUUUGUUACUUAAACUCUCAACCUCUAAUCAUUCACUAAAAGCCAAGAAAUAUGUUUUAGAAUAACAACAUUUUUUGUUUUAAUGUUUUUUUCAUUUUUUUUUUCAUCUUAGAUGUUGUCAAUA